GCAAUAUUCCCUAAGGAAAGGUGUAGCAUUAUAAAGAACAUUAUAAGAUUAAAAAAAAAAUCAGGAAGAACUUGUAGAGACAUUUUUCUCUCUUCCCAGCUGAGACUUUCUGAACUCCUAUAUUCACGUGACUCCAAAGAGAUUCAGCACUUAAUAUUUUUAAGUUAUUUGUACAUGAAUAUUUUACAGUGAUUUUAAAGAACAGAUGUUCUCCUAUUUUCCCCUCUUGCAAAUGUUGAAAAUAAUCUUUUAGAAUAUAUUCAGUAUUCCAAAGUGCUUAACCUUUGCUCUGAGGUAAUUACAGGUAAACAUCUCAUUACUCCCUACGCGGGUUUUCAAGAAUGUUGCUAAAUCACCCAGUUAUCUAAUGUUUCUGGCACCUGGAGGAGUCUAUCAAAGUGUGGGGUGAAGAUUUACUCGGCCCAAAUGCCCAGUGAGUCAUUGACAGUAGUUGAUAUUUCUUUCAAAAUUUCCUGAUGACCCAGCUUCACACCAGAAGUAAAAGACAGAGUGAAACCAGCCCUAGAUCAAAGAUAGCAGAGACUGGAGGUGAUUCAGCUGCAAAGGGGAGACAUAAACAUGACAGGGCAGUUUUCAUUCAAACCCUGACAUGACGUGAAGAGGAAGUGGGGACUAGGAUGGUUGUGCCAAAAGCCAGGACAUCUCAUGGAAGCUGAAGUUUGUGAUGCAGAAGACCCUCUGGUGACAAGAGGUGUCUCCUCCCUGCCAUCCUGGAGGGGAACAUACAUGAGUAGUGUGCUAUCAGCAGGGAAAUCCAUCCAGAAGAAGCCAGCUUCAGCUCUGAAAUCCUGUGGCUCCCCAAAGUUAGUAACAUCGAAGCCAGAAUGUGCUGUUCAAACCCCAGACCUUGGGCGUUCCUAUCUGAAUGUGAAUCUCACCUCUAGUAGAAUGACCUGGAUGUGUUGCUGAGGCUUCAACUCUCUAUCAACAGCAGAGCAUUAUGGUGAGGAUUGGAUAGCAUACCAAUAAUGCCUGCCAUAUACCAGGCACUCAAUAAAUGUCUAGGUCAAAACCAUGAAGUAAAUAAAGAAAACUAUUUCAGCUGAACUGGACCUGUGUGUUUGAGGUAUGGGCAUGCCCUGAAGGACUCACAAACACAUCUGUCGGAGAAGGUCCCAGGGUUUAAUGGGAUUGAAAGAGGUAAGUGGCCUCACCCUUAGUGAAAUCCUGGGAAGAAGACUGAAGAUUUCACAGUGAGUAGACGCCUGACCCAGCUGAGGGACUGCGUCUCUGGGGCGUAGGGAAGCUUGAUACUGAAAGUUAACAUGUCUCGUUAUAGGCUCAUUUUGGCAGCUACAGCACCGGGCAAGCAACAGCUGUCUGCGGGAAUGGUAGCAGCACUAGAAUGGAUGGUAACAUGCACAGUAUGAAUGGAGCAAAGACUGUCAUGGACCCCCUAUGGAGAGCUAACUGAAGUCUCCCCUGCUUAUCAACAUUUCAAAACAUCGUGGAGCUCUUUGGACUGCCAAGGUCAUCUCUGCUGUCCCUGGGCCUCCCUCACCAGUGUUCUCCUUACUCUUGAGUCAGGACACUGUCUCCCUCUGCUCACUGCCUGCAGACCUCAGGCCUCGACUUGGGCUGUAUUUCUAUAUUAAUUUGUUUGUUUUUUAACAUUCAAAGAGGGUUAUAAAAAUAUCCAGGAGGAAAUUUCUUUUGUUAUAAUAGUGAGUUUUUCUCCUUACAUAGUUAAGGAAAGUAAAUAAAA